UACGUAGGGUGCAAGCGUUGUCCGGAAUUAUUGGGCGUAAAGAGCUUGUAGGCGGUUUGUCGCGUCUGCUGUGAAAUUUCGGGGCUCAACCCCGAACUUGCAGUGGGUACGGGCAGACUAGAGUGUGGUAGGGGAGACUGGAAUUCCUGGUGUAGCGGUGAAAUGCGCAGAUAUCAGGAGGAACACCGAUGGCGAAGGCAGCCCCCUGGGCUAAGACUGACGCUGAGGCACGAAAGCGUGGGGAGCAAACAGG
rnacentral:rRNA from 1 species